GCAAACUUGGUCAUUUAGAGGAAGUAAAAGUCGUAACAAGGUCUCCGUAGGUGAACCUGCGGAGGGAUCAUUAACAAAUAUAAUAUACGAUGUGAAUCUGAGGUUCGAGCGCAAGCGAGAAUCACAGAUUCGCAGAGUUGAUUAAAUGAAGUUCUUUUGUGUCAACAAAAGAAAUUCAUUUGAUUAUGUGAUAUGUGAAAUGUUCAUUUGCAUUAUGCAGAUUUACAACACAUAACACACGAAUCAAUAUCACUAUUGAUUCAAAUACAGAGACUUAACAUCUCUGUAUUCAACACACGAUUCAAUUGACAAAAUAGCCAAAAAGAAAUCACUUUUAACAAUGGAUCUCUUGGCUCUUGCAUCGAUGAAGAACGCAGC
rnacentral:misc_RNA from 1 species